AACGUAGGACGCAAGCGUUAUCCGGAAUUACUGUGCGUAAAGCGCGUGUAGGUGGUUAGAUAAGUCACUGUUGAAAGCUCCCGGCUAAACUGGGAGAGGUGCGGUGAGACUGUCUGGCUAGAGUAUGGGAGAGGGAGGCAGAAUUCCGGGUGUAGUGGUGAAAUGCGUAGAGAUCCGGAGGAAUACCAGAGGCGAAGGCGGCCUCCUGGCCCAAAACUGACACUGAGACGCGAAAGCAUGGGGAGCGAACGGG
rnacentral:rRNA from 1 species